rnacentral:rRNA from 1 species
UCAUAGUAGUUGGCGGGGUAACGGCCCACCAAGACUACGAUGGAUAGGGGUUCUGAGAGGAAGGUCCCCCACAUUGGAACUGAGACACGGUCCAAACUCCUACGGGAGGCAGCAG